rnacentral:rRNA from 1 species
GACAGCCAGGAUGUUGGCUUAGAAGCAGCCAUCAUUUAAAGAAAGCGUAAUAGCUCACUGGUCGAGUCGGCCUGCGCGGAAGAUGUAACGGGGCUAAACCAUGCACCGAAGCUGCGGCAGCGACACUGUGUGUUGUUGGGUAGGGGAGCGUUCUGUAAGCCUGCGAAGGUGGCCUGUGAGGGUUGCUGGAGGUAUCAGAAGUGCGAAUGCUGACAUAAGUAACGAUAAAGCGGGUGAAAAGCCCGCUCGCCGGAAG